rnacentral:rRNA from 1 species
GAUGAACGCUGGCGGCGUGCUUAACACAUGCAAGUCGAACGGGAAUUACUUUAUUGAAACUUCGGUCGAUUUAAUUUAAUUCUAGUGGCGGACGGGUGAGUAACGCGUGGGUAACCUGCCUUAUACAGGGGGAUAACGGUCAGAAAUGGCUGCUAAUAACGCAUAAGCGCACAGAGCUGCAUGGCUCAGUGUGAAAAACUCCGGUGGUAUAAGAUGGACCCGCGUUGGAUUAGCUUGUUGGUGGGGUAACGGCCCACCAAGGCGACGAUCCAUAGACGGCCUGAUAGGGUGAACGGCCACAUUGGGACUGAGACACGGCCCAGCCUCCGACGGGAGGCAGCAGUGGGGAAUAUUGCACAAUGGGGGAAACCCUGAUGCAGCGACGCCGCGUGAAGGAAGAAGUAUCUCGGUAUGUAAACUUCUAUCAGCAGGGAAGAUAGUGACGGUACCUGACUAAGAAGCCCCGGCUAACUACGUGCCAGCCGCCGCAGUAA